UAGCAGUGGCAGGGAGAGGGAGGGUAAGGAGGAAACAGCGCGCAGGAACAAGCUCACUAAUCACGCCUUGUUUGCCACACAGGUACUCUCAGGUGCGGGAACAUGGCAAGAGGUGGCGGCGUUGGCAGCUGGUAAUACACCCUCACAGGUGACCAAGGGCAGUACCGUCGCCAGGUGGCCACACAGCCCCCCUCCUCAUACUGCUGGUGAACCUCAACGUGACAGGUGACCUCACUAAGGUUACAGGUCGCAGAGAUUACCUGUAUUUACAUCUAAGAUCUCUAGAUGGACGGCACUUGGAACUGAAUCCUGAGACGAAUCAUCUUGGCAGCGCGAGACUCAAGGGACGAGGCUGAUAUGAUUGUGUGUGGCGUAAAUAACAAGCCAGCGCCAAGUACACGAGUUGGGACGAAACGACACCGUGACGCAGUGGGCCUCUGGUCUCGUGGAGAGUGAUCUGCCGUAAGAGGAAGAAUGCACGUGAGUUUUGUCCUGGCCACGGAAUUCCGGAUAACGCAGGUGUUUGGGAGAGUGGAUGAUCAGACAGGACUGAGUAGAUGCUGAGUCUCGAGAGUGAACUGUGUGGUGCAGGACUGUAGCGGUUAUGCAGUCUCUUUUUAACGAGAGACACAUCGUGGAGGAGGCUGGCGAGUGCUCUCAACACACGUGACGGAGCGGCGCCAUGGUAACUGUCACCGUGGCCAGGAAGUCUCUUGUGCUGAACACUGCAAUGUUGUGUUAUCAAGACUGUGUAUUGGUGCAGCGCAUACAGUCGGAUCACUAAGCGUGUUGUAGUGAUGAAACUAUGGAAACUAUGGCGAAUGAUUAUUGAUCGUUGGAAAAAAGCAUAGGUGUGAUAAUAAUUCGGUGCUUGAGUUACACUAACACUCCAUCACUACCGCCACCACGGCCAUCACCACCGCCAUAACCACCGCCGCUACUAAGAGCUGGAUCAGCAGAGGAGCCGACACCGCACAGCUCGGCGCUCUUCCCCUGUGCCUGAGCAACACUGCGCUGACACGUCUGUCCGAUGCGGGGAGGAGACAGCAAGCGAGAGGCGAGGCUUGGCGGAGUUUUGACAUGUUAGGCAGUUAGUGUUCUUAACAAGAGUAAAUACAAUUGAGAAAAGUAAUAUAUGUUGGGAAAAGGUUUUCAGUUCAGGUUUCCCAUGAGAUGAAAAUAAAAGGCAUGUAGAAAGGUUUGUGUUAGCAAUUGUAGAUGCAGUUAUGGUAGAAAGUUUGUGGGAAAGGGAAAUUGUUACAUGUUAAGUGUCUUGUUGGGGCAAUGGAAGUAAGUGGAAGGAAGGAGAGGCUUUGCUAAGUUUAGCCUUUUCUGAGUAUUACUGUACUUGAUUAGGUUAAAGAGUUGUGAAAUUUUUUUUUUCUACACAUAUUUCAAUAGUUCUGGAAAUAAUAUCUUCACAUAUAGCAUAUAACAUGGAUGGUGUAUUUCACUUGUUAAUUUUGAGGGUAAUUUCUAUAGUGUGCGUCCUUUACUUUUCGUUUUCUCUCAUGGUUAAGGCUUCCUGUCGUUCUCUCUCAUGGCAGACUAUGGUAUCUCGCCUCGGGUCGGUUCACCUACCAAACUUUACACAUUUUCAUUCUUAUCUCAGUUAU